UGAGCUGAUAUCGUAGUGUUAGUGGCUGU
rnacentral:piRNA from 1 species